CCCAGCCUCCUGCAGGGAAAGCUGUGCAGAACCUGGCUAUGGUGUUGACCUAAGCAGGGCAGGCGGCUCGACCACCUUUGGCUUUCUGUUUUGUGCCAGCCACAUCCCUGGAGUUUCAGUGGUAAGAAUGGUGACAUUGUGCAACUCAUUGAACAGUCAGACCCAACAUCCAGAAUGAGGCAGUUCCCAGUGGUCUCCAGCUUGGUUCCCUUCAAGCUGGACGUCUCUCAGAGGAGUGACGUGGAGGAGGGCACCAGGAGCUGAUCCCACUUAAAAGGAGGGAAGGUUUCUUUUGACUCACAGUCCACGGCCAGCUUGCCAGUUCGUCCCACUGUGUGUUAAGGAAGUACACCCUGACGGAAGCACGGGAGCAGGGAGCACGUUGGAGGAAGCUAUUUGCCUCGAGGCAGCUGAGAAGCUAAGGAAUACAAAAAGAAGUGAUCUUCAAAGACAUCCCCAGUGACCUAACUUCACAGGCCCCACCUCAGUAACUCCCAGGGGCGUUGGGGAACACUUACCAGGACUCUAGUGAGUGGGCAUUUGAGCAUGGGGCUUGGGAUCGAGCUCUGGGUAUGCUGAGACGUGGGGAAUUUAGGACAUAUGAAUUAU
rnacentral:lncRNA from 1 species